GAGCCCAUAGCUCAGCUGGUAGAGCAGCUGACUUUUAAUCAGCGGGUCGCAGGUUCGAGCCCUGCUGGGCUCACCA
rnacentral:tRNA from 1 species